UAGGGAAUCUUCCACAAUGGGCGAAAGCCUGAUGGAGCAACGCCGCGUGUGUGAUGAAGGGUUCCGGCUACGUAAAACACUGUUGUAAGAGAAGAAUGACAUUGAGAGUAACUGUUCAAUGUGUGACGGUAUCUUACCAGAAAGGAACGGCUAAAUACGUGCCAG
rnacentral:rRNA from 1 species